CUCCACAACGGCCCCCUCUCCAGAAAAAAUGACAGAGGAUUGAGAUUGGAGAGAUCGAAGCCUGUCAAGCUCAGGAAUACUGAUUUGGUCUGCGUCAGAGGGAGCUGAUUUUGGAGUUGUUGUGUCCGAUUCACUUCUGUUUGGUUUAGCAGGUCGUUUGGGGGCAAUAGAAUCGAAUUGAGCUCUGAUUUGGUUGGCUAUUUGGAGCUGUCGAUUUGCAUCCAAAACCUCGUCGCUCCGGCUUGGCUUAGUCACGGUCAACUGCCCCACCAUGUUGGCUCUUGCCUGUAAAGUUUCUAUCUUGGUGAUCUCCACUACGUCUUCCCCUCACUGCGAUGGGAUGCCAAGAAUUG
rnacentral:misc_RNA from 1 species